rnacentral:tRNA from 1 species
GCCGGGGUGGCUCAGUGGAUAGAGCAUCGGCCUGUGGACUGAAGGGUCCCGGGUUCGAUUCCCGGUCAGGGCA